rnacentral:snRNA from 1 species
GUACUUCAGCAGCACAUACACUGAAAUUGGAAGAUUAGCAUGACCUCUGGGGUAAGUAAGGCUGACAUGUGAACUCGUGAAGUGUUUCAUAUAUAC